CCAGGGCCGGACAAAAACCUCCACAUGACUGAUUUCACGGCCGGGACCGAGGAGCUCGCUGCCCCCACGGGUUCCUGCGGGCCGGCAGCGCCCGGCUCCCGCUCGCCAUGGCCAGGAGCGCCCAGCCCAGGACAGGGGACACCAGAGCUCCCGAGAGCCCAGGAACAGAUGCCUUGGGUGAAAAGAGGGUGACAGCAAAGGUCCAGGAGAAAUGAAGACAGAGAAGAUGAAUAUGUUAUUCACUACGUCUCACAAUGUAACAGCUAAUGUCAUUUGAUGAAAAAAUCUGAUUUAAAAUAAAUUUAAAUAUAUUUA